AUUAAUGUGACAGACUCGUUUCAUUCAACGCACUCAUCUGUUGCUGCCGGUGGCUCUGCCAACCUCCUCGAGACAAAAAUAAGCGAUUAGUCAACCUCACGUUCUAAACACCGCUGUGGAGUCGUAAAGUUGACAAAUGGACUAGUCGGCGCUCCCAUUUCUGUACGGAGCAGUGAAUAUAACCGCCCCGACAAACAAAACAUGGGGGAAGAUGGCUAGAGUUCCGUGUUCGUCGCUCUAAGUUUACCUGGGUUCUGCACCAUGACCGCUAGCGUGUUGGAAGGGGACAGCUUCUUAUAAGCGUUCUUCUGAAAGACGGACACCCGGCACUGGUGGAAGCGUUCCAGCUCUCCGGACCAGCUGACGGCGCCGUCGGAGUACAUGGUCAGAAUGUUGUCUACGGCCGAGGCACUGCGCUGCAGGCUCCAGACACCACACACUGGUACCCGCCCGAAUCGGCCAGCGUGAUCUCAUCAAGUUCCAGGAGGAAGACGUCCUCCGCCGGGCGCGUAGCUCUGACAAAAUUCGCCACCUCGACCGCGGCCGUCUCCAAGACACCCUCCUGAC